rnacentral:misc_RNA from 1 species
AACAUCAGGUCUAUGUAACAUUUUCGUUUCUUGUUGCUGAGUAAAAAUAAAAAGCAACAGUUUCAGUUCAGCUUUCAUCAAACGCCACCAAAAACCCGAACAGCGCAAGAUCUAUACCAACUUCUACAUUAAUCUGGUUGCCGUUUCUUCCACAUCUCUCCAGCAAAACACCCACCCACCAUCGAUAUGUCAUGCAAGAAUUGCCCUCCCUACAAGAACUCUGAACUGGGCAUCUUCUUCCCGGAUUGCUUCGAACGCGUCAGCGGGCAUUGCAACAAGAAGAAUCCCGGCAAUGUCCAGAAUCUGCACAUCCUGGCCCAUCGGGUUAUGCCCAAGUUCUACGAUGGCAUCGAACUGGACUACCUCCACCGCCUGGCUCCCAACAAAUACAUCACGGCCUCCUGGGUACUCAGUCACAUAAGGCCAUCUGGGUUUCGCUUCGGAGGACUCUACACGUUUCGGGUUCAAGACGAUACUAUGUAUACCCCAACCAUUAUGGGCGACAUACAUCCCACUUCGCUCGCUGCCAACCUGAACAUCCUGUACUAUCCUUUUCAAUCCCUUCGCAUGGAGGCCGUGCUGCAGAAGGCCAGGGAAACCGCUCCGGUGGAGAGCCAGUAUACGGUCGAGUGGACGAGGCCAUGCGACACGUGGACCGCCAACUUCUACAAUGUGCGGAAUGAAAAUGGACGUUGCACGAUGUCCGUGAUGAGAUCGGUAUCCGCCCACUGGGCACUCGGCGGGGAACUUCUGCUGGAGUGGAACGAUCCCCAGAAGCUGACUCCGGAUCUGGCACUCGCAGCACGUUACUCUCAUUAUAACUACUCCUUGGCUGCCACUGCAUCAAGGCAAGGAUUGGACGUCAGCUACUGGCAGCGCAUUCAUCCCCAUAUCCAGAUGGCCAAUCUCUUGGCGUGGAAUCGUAAUACCCGAAAGACCAUUGCCACAAUAUGCUAUCAGUGGAACUUCUGGAACUCAGCCGUGCAUGGGAUGUUCGAUUCGGAUGCAUCCGUGGGCUUUAUGUGGACAAAAUACCUCACUCAUUUGCCACUGCAAAUGGGUUUCAGUGUAGUGAUGAAUCUGCCCACAGAUCGAUUUGCCUUCGGCAUGCGUUUUGUUUUGGACCCAAGUGGAUUGAGACGUGGCGAAUAAUUUUCUAUAUAAGUUUUCAUAUGUGUACAACAAAAUUAUCAAUUGCAAGUAUUAAGUCCAGAGUUCAGCGAAUUACAAAAUUGGCGUUCGGAAAGUCUCUUAAAUACAUUUGCGGUGCAACUUA